rnacentral:rRNA from 1 species
GGAGCUCUCCCAUAUGGUCGACCUGCAGGCGGCCGCGAAUUCACUAGUGAUUGUUUGAUCCUGGCUCAGGAUGAACGCUAGCGACAGGCCUAACACAUGCAAGUCGAGGGGUAUAAGUAGCUUGCUACUUAGAGACCGGCGCACGGGUGAGUAACGCGUAUGCAACCUACCUUUUACUGGGGGAUAGCCCAAAGAAAUUUGGAUUAAUACCGCAUAACAUAUUUGAAUCGCAUGGUUUAAAUAUUAAAACUUCGGUGGUAAAAGAUGGGCAUGCGUAGCAUUAGUUAGUUGGUGAGGUAACGGCUCACCAAGACUAUGAUGCUUAGGGGGUCUGAGAGGAUAGUCCCCCACACUGGUACUGAGACACGGACCAGACUCCUACGGGAGGCAGCAGUGAGGAAUAUUGGUCAAUGGGCGCAAGCCUGAACCAGCCAUGUCGCGUGCAGGAUGACGGCCCUAUGGGUUGUAAACUGCUUUUUUACAGGAAUAAACUUUGUUACGUGUAGCAAACUGAAGGUACUGUAAGAAUAAGGAUCGGCUAACUCCGUGCCAGCAGCCGCGGUAAUACGGAGGAUCCAAGCGUUAUCCGGAUUUAUUGGGUUUAAAGGGUCCGUAGGCGGGCUUUUAAGUCAGUGGUGAAAUCCCAGAGCUCAACUCUGGAACUGCCAUUGAUACUGAAGGUCUUGAAUUUAGUUGAGGUGGGCGGAAUACGUUAUGUAGCGGUGAAAUGCAUAGAUAUAACGUAGAACACCGAUUGCGAAGGCAGCUCACUAAGCUAACAUUGACGCUGAUGGACGAAAGCGUGGGGAGCGAACAGGAUUAGAUACCCUGGUAGUCCACGCCGUAAACGAUGAUUACUCGUUGUGCACGAUACACUGUGCGUGACUGAGCGAAAGCAUUAAGUAAUCCACCUGGGGAGUACGUUCGCAAGAAUGAAACUC